GCUCAAUGAAAAUUUAAUAGCCGCUUUUGUGCUAAGGUAGCAUAAUAAUUUGUCUUUUAAUUAAAGACUAGAACAAAAGGUUUAACAUCUCAAUUAAUGUUUUAUAAAAAACUUUUUAAAUUAUUUCAAUUGUAAAAAAACAAUUUUAAAAAAGAAAGACGAUAAGACCCUAUCGAACUUUACUUUAGUUUAAACUGGGGCAGUUAAUUAAUUAUUAUUUUAAUUUAAUUAAACAUAUAAUUUGACCUAAUACUAUUAAUAAAAUAAUCAAGUUACCGUAGGGAUAACAGCGUAAUAAAAUUUUUAAGACCUUAUUUAAAAUAAAGAUUGCGACCUCGAUGUUGAUUUAAUAACCUAAUUUACGCAGUAGUUAAUUAAGGAAGUCUGUUCGACUUUUAAAAAAUUACAUGAUUUGAGUUCAGACCGGUGUAAACCAGGUCGGUUUCUAUCUUCUAAAAAAAUUCUUCUAGUACGAAAGGACCUAAGAAAAUAAUAAUAUU
rnacentral:rRNA from 1 species